rnacentral:rRNA from 1 species
AUUGAACGCUGGCGGCAGGCCUAACACAUGCAAGUCGAGCGGAUGAAGGGAGCUUGCUCCUGGAUUCAGCGGCGGACGGGUGAGUUAUGCCUAGGAAUCUGCCUGGUAGUGGGGGAUAACGUCCGGAAACGGGCGCUAAUACCGCAUACGUCCUGAGGGAGAAAGUGGGGGAUCUUCGGACCUCACGCUAUCAGAUGAGCCUAGGUCGGAUUAGCUAGUUGGUGGGGUAAAGGCCUACCAAGGCGACGAUCCGUAACUGGUCUGAGAGGAUGAUCAGUCACACUGGAACUGAGACACGGUCCAGACUCCUACGGGAGGCAGCAGUGGGGAAUAUUGGACAAUGGGCGAAAGCCUGAUCCAGCCAUGCCGCGUGUGUGAAGAAGGUCUUCGGAUUGUAAAGCACUUUAAGUUGGGAGGAAGGGCAGUAAGUUAAUACCUUGCUGUUUUGACGUUACCAACAGAAUAAGCACCGGCUAACUUCGU